UACGUAGGGUGCGAGCGUUGUCCGGAAUUACUGGGCGUAAAGGGCUCGUAGGUGGUUUGUCGCGUCGUCUGUGAAAUUCCGGGGCUUAACUCCGGGCGUGCAGGCGAUACGGGCAUAACUUGAGUACUGUAGGGGUAACUGGAAUUCCUGGUGUAGCGGUGAAAUGCGCAGAUAUCAGGAGGAACACCGAUGGCGAAGGCAGGUUACUGGGCAGUUACUGACGCUGAGGAGCGAAAGCAUGGGUAGCGAACAGG
rnacentral:ncRNA from 6 species